rnacentral:rRNA from 1 species
UACGAAGGGUGCAAGCGUUACUCGGAAUUACUGGGCGUAAAGCGUGCGUAGGUGGUUCGUUAAGUCUGUCGUGAAAGCCCCGGGCUCAACCUGGGAAUGGCGAUGGAUACUGGCGGGCUAGAGUGCGGUAGAGGAGAGUGGAAUUCCCGGUGUAGCAGUGAAAUGCGUAGAGAUCGGGAGGAACAUCAGUUGCGAAGGCGGCUCUCUGGACCAGCACUGACACUGAGGCACGAAAGCGUGGGGAGCAAAC